rnacentral:rRNA from 1 species
CCCUUAGAUGUUCUGGGCCGCACGCGUGCUACACUGAGUAAAUCAAUGGGUAAGGGAACACGAAAGUGCAACCUAAUCUUGAAAUUUGCUCGUGAUGGGGAUCGACGGUUGCAAUUUUCCGUCGUGAACGAGGAAUACCUUGUAGGCGCGUGUCAUCACCACGCGCCGAAUACGUCCCUGCCCUUUGUACACACCGCCCGUCGCUCCUACCGAUUGAGUGAUCCGGUGAGGCUCUGGGACCUGGACGGAAAGAGCGUUUCGCUUGUUCUGUUUGGGAAACUUGGUCGAACCUUAUCAUUUAGAGGAAGGAGAAGUCGUAACA